ensembl:snRNA U6 U6 spliceosomal RNA
GUGCUCGCUUUGGCAGCACAUAUACUAAAAUUGGAAUGAUACAGACAUUACAUUAGCAUGACUCCUGUGCAAGAAUGACAUGAAAAUUAAUGAAGUGUUCCAUAUUAAA